rnacentral:tRNA from 1 species
GCAGCGGUAGUUCAGUCGGUUAGAAUACCGGGGUUCGAGUCCCGUCCGCUGCGCCA